UACGUAGGGUGCGAGCGUUAAUCGGAAUUACUGGGCGUAAAGCGUGCGCAGGCGGUUCGUUGUGUCUGCUGUGAAAUCCCCGGGCUCAACCUGGGAAUGGCAGUGGAAACUGGCGAGCUUGAGUGUGGCAGAGGGGGGUGGAAUUCCGCGUGUAGCAGUGAAAUGCGCAGAUAUCAGGAGGAACACCAAUUGCGAAGGCAGCUCGCUGGGACGUUACUGACGCUGAGACGCGAAAGCGUGGGGAGCAAACAGG
rnacentral:rRNA from 1 species